GUAUUCCACUGUGUAUAUGUACCACAUUUUCUUCAUUCAUUCAUUUGUUGAAGGGCUUCUAGGUUGGUUCCAUAGUUUAGCUAUUGUGAAUUGAGCUGCUAUAAACAGCUAUAGAUGUGGCUAUGUCCCUGUAGUGUGCUGAUUUUAAGUCCUUUGGAUAUAAACCAAGGAGUGAAAGAGCUGGGUCAAAUGGUGGUUCUAUUUCAAGAAACACAAAAUAUUAUUGAAAAUUCAGCUUUUUCAAAAUACCUUUUCUUUUUUUGCGGCGCUGGGGAUGGAACUCAGGGACUCACGCAUACCACCCAGGCACUCUUACCACUGAGCUGCGCCCCCAGUCCAAAAUACCAACGAUUUUGUUUUUCAACUUUUUACGAUGGAAAAUUGCAACACGUGAAGGUAGAGAGGAGGAUAACGAAAGCCCGCCUAGCCGGCCUCCAGCCUCCUCCCUCCUCCUCCCGUGGCCAGUCCUUCCGGCUCGCCUGCCUCCUGGAUGACCGGCCACAAUCGUUUCCUGGUAGUGACCUGGUGAAGGAGGACCUCUCUGGGCCUGCUUUUGCCACCCCAGCUACCUCUUCACUCCCACCCCUCAGGCCGGAGCCUGAGGACAUCGAGGACACAGUUUCACAGAUGACAGCCCCGAAGGGAAGGUCAAGGAGAGGGAGGAGGCGCAGGCUCUGAGCAUCUGGGGCUCUGCUUAGGCAGGGCUGGGGGUGUGGAGGGCCGAUCUCAGACCCGGGAGCCGGGUAGGGUUAGGGGCAGCGACCCGGGUGGGAGCACUGAGUAUCUGGGGACAGUCUUUCUAGCCUCUGGACUGAAGGGCACCUUCUGCCUGGCUGUGGAGGGAGAGGAGGCAGGGACCAGGCUGAGGGAUAGGCUGUUGUGUCCCCAGAGCCACUCGAGAAUGGUGCUGAGGAUACAAGGGGCCUGCCCCCCACGACGGGGACAGGUUCGGAGGAAAGUGCCCCCAGCUGAUGUCCGGUGCGCACACGCCACCGAGCGCGCGCACCGGAGCCCAGACGGCGCGCCCUGCGCUCCCCAGGCAGUCGCUGCCCGGCUGUUACCGCGCCAGCACGGUGCAUAGUGGCGUCACAACGAUCCCUACCUGUCUCUAAACACGCCUCGGCAUAGGAAAGGUGAGCACAAAGACGCGUGCCUCGUGUCCCUGGCCGAGGCGUCCACCUCCGCCUCUGCCUUUCAGCACGCCCAGGCGCCGUCCACCGCACACACUCCUGCUGUCACCUCUGCCUCCCGGCCUGCCCUGCGGGCUCUGCUUUCCCUGGCUAAGGACAGGCUUUGGUCAAAGCCUCACCCUCUGGGAACUUUCUGUGACCGGCCGCCUCCCCGCGAGGCCCCCAGUGUCCCUACAUCUCUGUCUGGCCCUUCACAGGGCUACAGCUUUGUGGACCACGCUUUCUCUAGGGCGGAGAGGCUGGGGCUUACUUCUCUGCACCCCGAACCCCAGAAGGUGCUCAGGAAGUGUUUGCAGGAAACCAGUGAUCACAGGAAGAUGAGCAGAACACCCCGACUUUCAGAGUAACUCGGUCUGUAGAGAAGGGCCCCCCAGCAACAGCUCAGGCGGCAGCCCACACCGCGGUCCAGGGGCUUUCCUCUCACACUCAAGGUAAGAGUCCAGAUUCUUCCGCGGGUCCCACGAGGCCCUUCUGACCUGACUACCCCAGCUCAGACUCUGCCACCCACUGAGAGAGGACAGGCCUCCAUACAAGGUGACCUUCUCCAAGUAGGGGUCUACUGAGUCCUCUCCCAGUCGCCUGAGAUUUAACUCCUACUCUAACUGGGCACUUAGUGACUAACCGGCUACUUCCUGGUCAUCCUUUUAGCUUCCGCGUUACCACCUGUGUGAUAAACCCUGCUCCCGGCUCUGAACCUGAUGGACAACUUGGCACCCAACACAUACAUUUAGAGGUACCCUGAAUCCCCAGGAACUGGACCCCUGGAACCCUGAACCACCACCUGUACCACAUGCUUUUCCACCACCUCCUGCCUCAGGCAGGGACCCUGUCAUCCACCUGGAACCCCAGCCAGGAAUCUGGACUCCUGAGACCAGUGCACAGACACGCCACAGAAUAGACCCUCGACAAGUGCAGGAUGUGUGAGCGAUUUAAUGAUCGAAUGAAUGAGCGGGAGCCGCCAACCUCAACUCUUCCCUCGCCUUCACCAGACGACUAACUGGUCAUGAAGUCCAUAAUCAUAAAUCUCUCUCAAAUCCUGUCCCCCUUUUUGAUCCCAACUUUGUCUCCCUUGCUAGAUUGUGUCAAGGCUAAAAAGGAGAUUGAUAUACACAAAAAUGGUUUGCGAAGAAUAA